rnacentral:rRNA from 1 species
AUUGAACGCUGGCGGCAGGCCUAACACAUGCAAGUCGAACGGUAACAGGAAGAAGCUUGCUUCUUUGCUUACGAGUGGCGGACGGGUGUGUAAUGUCUGGGAAACUGCCUGAUGGAGGGGGAUAACUACUGGAAACGGUAGCUAAUACCGCAUAACGUCUCAAGACCAAAAAGGGGGACCUUCGGGCCUCUUUCCAUCGGAUUUGCCCAGAUGGGAUUAGCUAGUAGGUGGGGUAACGGCUCACCUAGGCGACGAUCCCUAGCUGGUCUGAGAGGAUGACCAGCCACACUGGAACUGAGACACGGUCCAGACUCCUACGGGAGGCAGCAGUGGGGAAUAUUGCACAAUGGGCGCAAGCCUGAUGCAGCCAUGCCGCGUGUAUGAAGAAGGCCUUCGGGUUGUAAAGUACUUUCAGCGGGGAGGAAGGGAGUAAAGUUAAUACCUGUGCUCAUUGACGUUACCCGCAGAAGAAGCACCGGCUAACUCCGUG